rnacentral:rRNA from 1 species
GAGUUUGAUCCUGGCCAGGACGACCGCUGGCGGCGUGCUUAACACAUGCAAGUCGAACGAUGCCGCCGGAGCUUGCUUUGGUGGAAGAGUGGCGAACGGGUGAGUAACACGUGAGUAACCUGCCCCGAACUCUGGGAUAAGCGCUGGAAACGGCGUCUAAUACUGGAUACGCGCACUGGCCGCAUGGCCUGGUGCGGGAAAGAUUUAUCGGUUCGGGAUGGACUCGCGGCCUAUCAGCUUGUUGGUGAGGUAAUGGCUCACCAAGGCGACGACGGGUAGCCGGCCUGAGAGGGUGACCGGCCACACUGGGACUGAGACACGGCCCAGACUCCUACGGGAGGCAGCAGUGGGGAAUAUUGUACAAUGGGCGCAAGCCUGAUGCAGCAACGCCGCGUGAGGGAUGACGGCCUUCGGGUUGUAAACCUCUUUUAGUAGGGAAGAAGCGAAAGUGACGGUACCUGCAGAAAAAGCACCGGCUAACUACGUGCCAGCAGCGCGGUAA